UGGUGGAGUGAUUUGUCUGGUUAAUUCCGUUAACGAACGAGACCUCGACCUGCUAAAUAGUUCGGCAUACCUUCGGGUAUGUACGCGACUUCUUAGAGGGACUGUCGGUUUUAGCCGAAGGAAGUUCGAGGCAAUAACA
rnacentral:rRNA from 1 species